GAAUGGUUUGGUUUGGUUUGGGUUCAAACCGAACCAAACCGAACCAAACCAAUAAUCCAAUAUAUAUAUUAACAUAUUGUAAAUUUUAGUUAAAGUUUCGUUUUCCAUUUUUUCUUAACUUUCAUAUAUUUUUAAAAAAAAUCCAAAUAUGAUUCAAAUAAUCCUAAUACCUAAAUAUUGUACUGAAAACAAAACCUAAAAACUAUAAGCAUCUAAAUUAUAGCCAUCUCGUUUCGUUCAUCUUCUCCAAUUUUCAUUCUCUAAAUUAUGUAAUAAAGUUAUUAUAGGAUCAAUAAAAACAAAAAAAUAGAUGCAAAUAGUCUUUUAGUUAAUAGGUUUUGGAAUGCUUACAAAUCUUUGUUACGCUAAUUAGAUUACAAAUAGUCUGCUAUUUGCUUAUUAUGUAUUUCUUCCUUUGACGUGGUUAAAAGUUUUGUCAUCGAGCUUUAAAUUGUUUUUUGUUUCAUAGAUUUUUAAAGAACCAAACUAAAUCUAAACCAAACCGAACCAAAUAAACCCAAACCAAACCC
rnacentral:lncRNA from 1 species